GGCGACCGGCGCACGGGUGAGUAACACGUAUCCAACUGCGUCUACUCUUGGACAGCAUCUGAAAGGAAGAUUAAUACAAGAUGGCAUCAUGAGUCCGCAUGUUCACAUGAUUAAAGGUAUUCCGGUAGACGAUGGGGAUGCGUUCCAUUAGAUAGUAGGCGGGGUAACGGCCCACCUAGUCUUCGAUGGAUAGGGGUUCUGAGAGGAAGGUCCCCCACAUUGGAACUGAGACACGGUCCAAACUCCUACGGGAGGCAGCAGUGAGGAAUAUUGGUCAAUGGGCGAGAGCCUGAACCAGCCAAGUAGCGUGAAGGAUGACUGCCCUAUGGGUUGUAAACUUCUUUUAUAAAGGAAUAAAGUCGGGUAUGGAUACCCGUUUGCAUGUACUUUAUGAAUAAGGAUCGGCUAACUCCGUGCCAGCAGCCGCGGUAAUACGGAGGAUCCGAGCGUUAUCCGGAUUUAUUGGGUUUAAAGGGAGCGUAGAUGGAUGUUUAAGUCAGUUGUGAAAGUUUGCGGCUCAACCGUAAAAUUGCAGUUGAUACUGGAUAUCUUGAGUGCAGUUGAGGCAGGCGGAAUUCGUGGUGUAGCGGUGAAAUGCUUAGAUAUCACGAAGAACUCCGAUUGCGAAGGCAGCCUGC
rnacentral:rRNA from 1 species